rnacentral:rRNA from 1 species
UACGAAGGGGGCUAGCGUUGCUCGGAAUCACUGGGCGUAAAGGGUGCGUAGGCGGGCCUUUAAGUCAGGGGUGAAAUCCUGGAGCUCAACUCCAGAACUGCCUUUGAUACUGAAGAUCUUGAGUUCGGGAGAGGUGAGUGGAACUGCGAGUGUAGAGGUGAAAUUCGCAGAUAUUCGCAAGAACACCAGUGGCGAAGGCGGCUCACUGGCCCGAUACUGACGCUGAGGCACGAAAGCGUGGGGAGCAAACAGG